AGGGGCAAGAGCCCCCAAGGCUGUGGGUCCGAGGCCGGGGCCCUGCACCGGAAGGGAGGGCGGAAGCCACGGGACGUGAAGCGGAGGGUGAGGAUAGUGGGGAGGUAGCGGCAGAGGAUGACCCGAGGCAAAAGCACAAGUGAGGAAAAGUCGCCCUGCCGGGCAGAGGUACCGGACCAAGGCGCCUCCUCUGGGCUGGGGAGUUAGAGGGAAGAAAAUGGCGCCCUGUCAUGAGGGCGGUAGGUCCGAGUUGAGGGGAGAAGACCGAGGGGCACAGAAGUGGCCGAAGUGAGGGCGCUGAGGUCAGCCUGAGCUGAGACGGCCGACAGAUCACCCCGCAGCCGAAGUGAACGAACUCGAGUGAGGAAAUUACUCCAGGAUUUGAAUCAUCACAGGAGAUUCACCAGAGGAUUUUAUACACUUGGGCUGUGGCAGCAGACUAAUUACACCACAGCACUAGGUCGUAAGGAACUCCCCGUGAAACCACAAGUGCUGGUUGAGGGAGAAGCCAAAAGGCAUCAGAAGCUUGCCAGAGGAGCCAUGCAGCACUCUUACCACAGACACUUGGAGCACCACUGGAUAGACAGACUGGAAUGACACUGCCUCGACCCACUGUAGAGGCUUCUCUUGCUUCAGGCACCAUUCAGAAGUAGCAGCCUUACAAGUUACUUGGUGUAACUGGAUCAGAGCAGAGCAUCCACUUGUGGUUUGUGUUGCCUAGAAAAUCUAAAGAGGCCCAGGACUGGCACAAUAAUCCUGAACUUGGAGAACAAAGACUGCGUAACAUUACCUAUUGAUAACAGUGGCCAGAUGUGACUUUAGUUGUUUUCCCUUCAUAUGUGGUUGUAUAUAAAAUAGUACAUUUUGUUAAGUAGGAACUUUUUUGGACUUGUAUUAUGGUAAGAAAGGUGUAUGUAUGUCCUGUAAGCUGUCUGAAUAUUUCUUUCUUUCUUUUUGGUCUACAUAGCAUCUCUUGGUCUGGGCAAAUUUCCCUUCCCAAUUUAGGUGGUUCUGAUGAGUAAAGGUAAAUUACCAGAUAGCAAAGCAAGAGGACAUUCUAGAAAAUAAGAUCAGUGGAAGCAAAGGCCUAUGGGCAUUGUGGGUUCUGGGAGCAGUAAUUAGUUCAGUUGAGUAGUAAGUAGAACUAGGGGUGAAGAGUAUGAAGAGUGGAGUGGUGGGAGAUAAAACUGGAAAUGUUAGGUAGGGCUAUAUUGGAAGGAGCUUUAUGUGCCAUAUGAAGAAGGUGGACAAAAUCCUAUGCUGAGGGAAAAGUAGUGAUGAUUUUUUUUUUACAGGACUGUGAUGUGAUCACAUCACAUUGGUGUGAAAGAUAUUCCAUGAGGGAGAAUUGGAGAUGAGCAAUACUAGGGGUAGAACUAUUAUUUAAGAUUACCUAGUAAUUCUGAAUAAAAUGAUGUGACAUGAGCUAAGUAAGGUCGUGUGAAUUAGAGGAGAAAAUGAAUUUAAAUGAUACAUAGGAAGUGGAAUUGACAGACUUGGUGGCUGACUAUAUGUGGAGUGGGAAGAGAGAACAGGAAUUUAUAUAUGUGGUUAAAAAUUUUAUACUUGUAUGACACAAUCUGGUUUGAGCUUGAGUGGGGUUCAGAGAGAUCUGGGCCUAGUGUAGAGUGACCAGCUGUUCUGGUUUAUCCAAGAUUAAGGGAUUUCGAUUUCCUGGGACGUGAGACUUCCACUGCUAAAACUGUGAAAGUCCCAGCAAACCAGGACAAAUUGGUCACACUAGCCUAAUAUGAACGGGCGGACAGAUUAGUGACAGGAGCUUAUCGGCAUAAACACUGAAACACCUUCUGGGAUAACCAUGACCUGGCAAGAGAGCCUUUAGUGGUGCAAAGAAAUGGUGAUCCUUGAUAAUGCAUGGUAGUUGCCAUUCAGAUCUACCCCUCAAUGGAUCCAUUCUGGAGUCCCGCAGAGAAAGGAGGCUGGAAGUAAAAUAUGAAAGAACUGUUUCACUAAUCUGUGACCCCGUUUAACAGAGUGUAACUCAGAGGGGACAGAUUCUUUCUCACCGUGGACUACCCCACAGCUGAGGGCUUUAGUACAUUGGGAAAUUCAGUUAAAUACAGGUUGGGGGAGUUGCAAGGGAUGGAGAGGGUGGGGAAAGGGAGAAGGAGGAACUGGUAACAUGUACUGGUACAAGAACUAAAAUACUUAGCAGAACAGAAUAACAUCUGUGCAAUGGGGUAUAAAUCUGAAAUAUGAGUUAUUACAGCAAAGGUGACAUCAGCAGGCUUUUCUUGAAGCAAUUCCUUUCAGAAGGAAAGAAUGUGUUGAUUACUUUCUUUGUUAUAUUGCGCCAUCUAGUGGUAACUCUCAUGUACUUUUUUCCUAGUUAGAUGUUUAAAAGAAGGCAGAUGAAUUAAAAACUUGAGCGCUGUUUCCAAAGUCGUCAUUUAUUCGUUCGUUCAUUCAUUCAUUCAUUCACUUCACAAAUACUGAGUGGGUAUGUAUACCUUCUAUAUUGCAGUUACAUUUCUAGGCAUUAGGGUUACAGCUGUGAACAAAACUGAAAGAACCCUGAACUCAUGGAAGCUUACUUUGAUGAAAGAGUACAUUUCAUUUUUUUCCCAUGUGAAUGUUCUGUUUUCAAAGCACCAUUUACUGAAAAGAUUAUCUUUUUUUCUUUAGUACUCUGCAGUGCCGUUAUUGUUAUAUAUGAAGUGUCCAUUUAUAUGUGAGUCAUUGCCUAUCUUGGUUAUGCUCCAUUGAUUUAUUUGUCAAUUUCUGUGACAAUAUCAUAUUGUCUUUAUCAUUUUACUUUAUAAUCAUUGUUAAUAUUUAGUACAGCAAGAACUCCCACCUUAUUUUUUAAAAGAAUGUUUUGGAUAGUCUUGGCCUUUAAAUUUUCCAUAAAGUUUAAAAUCAGUCUGUCAAAUUCUGUCAAAAAAAAAAACCCUCUUGGGAACAUUUAUUGGGAUUGAACUGAAUCAUUAAGUCAUUUUAGAGUCAACUGAUAUUUUUAUGCUAUUGAGCCUUCCAAUCACGAUUUACUUCAGUUUUCCUGAGUGUCUUUCAAUAGACAUAAAAGUCUUAUAUAUCUUUUGGUACACUUAUUUGUAGAUACUUGAUUUUUUUAGGCUAAAAAGGCAUCUUUAAAAAAUCAUUUGCUAACAAUUUAUGGCUGGUGUUUGGAAAUGUAACUACUUUUGUCAUAUUGAUUAUUCAUCUAGGGAUUUUGCUAAAUGCUCUUAUAAUUCGAAUAAAUCUCUUUUUCCUACAUAUACAAUUUAUCAUUUAUAGAUAAUUAUGCCAUUAAUUUGUUUUUCUUAUCCUUCAUGUACUAGUUAGAAGCUCUAGUGCAACAUAGAAUAGAAAUGGUGAUAUUAGGCACCCUUUAAUUGUUCCUGACUUUAGAGGAAAAGCUUUUGACAUAAAACAUUACUUUUCUUUGGUUUUCUACGGAUACUUUUUAUUAGAUUAAGAACUUUCAUUUUAUUUCUUUUUUCUUAAGGGUUUAAAAAUCAUGAAUGGAUAUUAAGUUUUAUCAAAUGCUUUAGAAAUUUUGCAUCUAUGUAGAACUACUGUAACUUUUUUUCUGCUUGACUCUCUUAAUGUGGUGAAGAACUGGUACCAAUUCUACUGAAACUAUUCAAAAAACUCGAGGAGGAAGGACUCCUCUCUAACUCAUUCUGUAAAGCCAGCAUCACCCUGAUACCAAAAUCUGGCAAAGACAUAGUGAUAAAAGAAAACUACAGGCCAAUAUCUCUGAUGAAUGUAUAUACAAAAAUCCUCAACAAAAUACUAGCAAACUGAAUCCAAAGCACAUUAAAAAGUUAAUUCAUCAUGAUCAAGUUGGUUUCAUUCCUGGGAUGCAAGGUUGGUUCAACAUACACAAAUCAAUAAAUGUGAUUCACCACAUAAACAGAAUUAAAAAUAAAAACCAUAUGAUCAUCUCAAUAGACACAGAAAAAGCUUUUUAUAAAAUUCAACAUCCCAUCAUGAUAAAAGCCCUCUAAAAAAAUAGUCACCAAAGGAACAUACCUCAAAAUAAGAGCCAUCUAUGAUAAACCAGCUAACAUCACACUGAAGGGGCAAAAAUUGGAAGCAUUCCCCUGGAGAAUUGGAACAAGACAAGAAUGCCCACUCUCACCACUCAUAUUCAACAUGGUAAUACAAAGUCCUUGCUACAGCAAUCAGGCAAAAGAAAGAAAUAAAAGACAUCCAAAUAGGAAAAGAAGAAGAUAGUUUGACUUUUUCUUUGCUGAUGAUAGGAAUCUAUACAUAGAAAACCCUAAAGACUGCCAAAAAGUCUCCUAGAACUGAUAAACAACUUCAGGAAAAUUUCCAGAUACAAAAUCAAUGUACAAAAAUCAGUAACAUUUCUAUACACCAAUAACAUUCAAGCCGAGAGCCAAACCAAGAAUGCAAUCCCAUUUACAAUAGCUGCAAAAAACGAACAAACAAAAGUAACGACGGAGGUGAAAGAUCUCUCCAAGAACUACAAAAUACUGCUGAAAAAAACCAUACAUGGUACAAACAAAUGGAAAAACAGUCCAUGCUCAUAGAUUAGAAGAAUCGAUAUUGUUAAAAUGGCUAAAAGCAGUCUACAGAUUGAAUGCUAUUCUUAUCAAGCUACCAACAUUAUUUUUCACAGAACUAGAAAAAAACUGUUCUAAAAUUCAUAUGGAACCAAAAAAGAGUACAGAUAGCCAAAGCAAUCCUAAGCAAAAAGAACAAAGCUGGAGGCAUCACAUUACCUACUUGAAACUAUACUACAAGGCUACAGUAUCAAAACAACAUGGUACUGGGACAAAAACAGACGCACAGACCAAUGAAACAGAAUAGAGAACCCAGAAGUAAAGCCACACAUCUACAACCACCUGAUCUUUAACAAAGUCAGCAAAAAUAAACAGUGGGGAAAGGACUCUCUAUUCAAUAAAUGGUGCUGGGAUAACUGGCUAGCCAUAUGCAGAAGACUGAAACUGGACCCCCUACCUUUCACCAAAUACAAAAGUUAACUCAGGAUGAAUUAAAUAUUUAAAUGUAAGACCUCAAACUAUAAGAAUCCUAGAAGAAAACCUAAGAAACCUAUUCUGGACAUCAGCCUUGGGAAAUAAUUCAUAACUGAGUCCUCAAAAGCAAUUGUAACAGAAACAAAUUGACCAGUGGUACCUAAUUAAAGUAACAAGCUUCCAAUUAAAGCUACCAAUUAAAGUAACUAUCAACAGAGUAAACAACCUACAGAAUAGGAGAAAAUGUUUGCAAACUAUGCAUCUGACAAAAGUCUAAUAUCUAGAGCUAUAAGGAACCUAAACAAAUCAGCAAGCAAAAAACCAAUAACCCCAUUUAAAAAAUGAGCAAAAGACAUGAACAGACACUUCCCAAAAGAAGACCUACAAGUGGGCAACAAAUACAUGAAAAAAUGCUCCACAUCGCUAAUUGUCAGAGAAAUGCAAAUCAAAACCGUAACGAGAUACCAUCUCAUAUCAGUUAGAAUGGCUAUUAUUAUUAUUAUUUUAUUUUUAUUAUGUUAUGUUUUAGAUGGAAUCUCGCUCUGUUGCCAGGCUGGAGUACAGUGGCACAAUCUCAGCUCACUGCAACCUUUGCCUCCUGGAUUCAAGUGAUUCUCCUGCCUCAGCCUCCUGUGUAGCUGGGACUACAGGCACACGCCACCAUGACUAGCUAAUUUUUGUAUUUUUAGUAGAGAUGGGGUUUCACCAUGUUGGCCAGGAUGUCUCGAUCCCUUGACCUCGUGAUCCACCCGCUUCAGCCUCUCGAAGUGCUGGGAUUACAGUUGUGAGCCACUGCGCCGGGCUGGCUAUUAUUAAAAAUAAAAAUAGAUAGAUGCUGGCAAGCCUGCAGAGAAAAGGGAAACUUAUACACUUUUGGUGGGAAUGUAAAUUAGUUCAGCUACUGUGGAAAGCUGUUGAGUUGUGUGAGUUCUUUAUAUAUUCUA